rnacentral:rRNA from 1 species
CUAAAGGUCCCUGGUAGACCACCAGGUUGAUAGGCUGGAGGUGUAAGCGUCGCAAUACGCUCAGCUGACCAGUACUAAUAGACCGUGAGUCUUAACCU